rnacentral:tRNA from 1 species
GUCAAGAUGGUUGAGUAGUCUAAGGUGCUAGAUUCAAGUUUUGAUCUUUGUGAGAGGGCGUGGGUUCAAAUCCCACUUCUGACA